rfam:Micromonospora carbonacea strain JXNT-1 contig3, whole genome shotgun sequence.
GUACCCCGCGUGGGAGAGACCGCCCGAGUUGUUCGGGGCGGCGCCGAAGGGGCAGCUUCCUCCCCGGAACCUCUCAGGCAGAAGGACCACGUGGGCAGG